ACGAACGCUGGCGGCGUGCUUAACACCUGCAAGUCGAACGGAAAGGCCCUGCUUUUGUGGGGUGCUCGAGUGGCGAACGGGUGAGUAACACGUGAGUAACCUGCCCUUGACUUUGGGAUAACUUCAGGAAACUGGGGCUAAUACCGGAUAGGAGCUCCUGCUGCAUGGUGGGGGUUGGAAAGUUUCGGCGGUUGGGGAUGGACUCGCGGCUUAUCAGCUUGUUGGUGGGGUAGUGGCUUACCAAGGCUUUGACGGGUAGCCGGCCUGAGAGGGUGACCGGCCACAUUGGGACUGAGAUACGGCCCAGACUCCUACGGGAGGCAGCAGUUGGGAAUAUUGCACAAUGGGCGGAAGCCUGAUGCAGCAACGCCGCGUGCGGGAUGACGGCCUUCGGGUUGUAAACCGCUUUCGCCUGUGACGAAGCGUGAGUGACGGUAAUGGGUAAAGAAGCACCGGCUAACUACGUG
rnacentral:rRNA from 1 species